rnacentral:rRNA from 1 species
GGUUCAUUCAAAUUUCUUCCCUAUCAACUUUCGAUGUUUGGGUAUUGGCCAAACAUGGUUGCAACGGGUAACGGAGGGUUAGGGCUCGACCCCGGAGAAGGAGCCUGAGAAACGGCUACUACAUCCAAGGAAGGCAGCAGGCGCGCAAAUUACCCAAUCCCGACCGGGGAGGUAGUGACAAUAAAUACUGAUACAGGGUUCUUUCGGAUCUUGUAAUUGGAAUGAGUACAAUUUAAAUCCCUUAACGAGGAACAAUUGGAGGGCAAGUCUGGUGCCAGCAGCCGCGGUAAUUCCAGCUCCAAUAGCGUAUAUUAAAGUUGUUGUGGUUAAAAAGCUCGUAGUUG